GGGCCCGCACAAGCGGAGGAGCAUGUGGUUUAAUUCGAUGAUACGCGAGGAACCUUACCCGGGCUUGAACGUAAGACCGAUGUCCAGGAGACUGGGCAGCCUACGGGGGUUUUGCGAGGUGCUGCAUGGUUGUCGUCAGCUCGUGCCGUGAGGUGUUAGGUUAAGUCCUGCAACGAGCGCAACCCUUACACGUAGUUGCCAGCACGUAAAGGUGGGGACUCUACGGGAACUGCCUGCGCAAGCAGAGAGGAAGGUGGGGAUGACGUCAAAUCAGCACGGCCCUUAUGUCCGGGGCUACACACGUGCUACAAUGGCGCACACAGAGGGCAGCGACCCUGCGAGGGGGAGCCAAUCCAUGAAAGUGCGUCUCAGUUCGGAUUGGGGUCUGUAACCCGACCCUAUGAAGUUGGAUUCGCUAGUAAUCGCGCAUCAGCCAUGGCGCGGUGAAUACGUUCCCGGGCCUU
rnacentral:rRNA from 1 species